rnacentral:tRNA from 1 species
GGGGAUAUAGCUCAGUUGAUUAGAGUGCUUCCAUGGCAUGGAAGAAGUCGAGGGUUUGAGUCCCUCUAUCUCCACCA